rnacentral:rRNA from 1 species
UUCGCAAUGCCCGAAAGGGUGACGAAGCGACGCCGCGUGGGUGAGGAAGGCCCUCGGGUUGUAAAGCCCUGUCAGGGGUUAAGAAAUGUAGACUCGCUAAUAUCGGGUCUAUUUGACAAAGGCUCCAAAGGAAGCCACGGCUAACUCUGUGCCAGCAGCCGCGGUAAUACAGAGGUGGCAAGCGUUGUUCGGAAUUAUUGGGCGUAAAGAGCACGUAGGUGGAUUUGUAAGUCAGACGUGAAAGCCUUCUGUUCAACGGAAGAAUUGCAUCUGAAACUACAAACCUUGAGUGUAGGAGGGGGAAAUGGAACUUCUGGUGGAGCGGUGAAAUGCGUAGAUAUCAGAAGGAACGCCGGCGGCGAAAGCGAUUCUCUGGCCUAUUACUGACACUCAGUGUGCGAAAGCUAGGGGAGCAAACGGGAUUAGAUACCCCGGUAGUCCUAGCCGUAAACGAUGGGCACUAAGUAGAGGGGUUUU